rnacentral:rRNA from 1 species
CCGCAACGCCGCGUGAGGGAUGACGGCCUUCGGGUUGUAAACCUCUUUCAGUACCGACGAAGCGCGAGUGACGGUAGGUACAGAAGAAGCACCGGCCAACUACGUGCCAGCAGCCGCGGUAAUACGUAGGGUGCGAGCGUUGUCCGGAAUUAUUGGGCGUAAAGGGCUCGUAGGCGGUUUGUCGCGUCGGGAGUGAAAACUCGGGGCUUAACUCCGAGCCUGCUUUCGAUACGGGCAGACUAGAGGUAUGCAGGGGAGAACGGAAUUCCUGGUGUAGCGGUGAAAUGCGCAGAUAUCAGGAGGAACACCGGUGGCGAAGGCGGUUCUCUGGGCAUGACCUGACGCUGAGGAGCGAAAGUGUGGGGAGCGAACAGGAUUAGAUACCCUGGUAGUCCACACCGUAAACGUUGGGCGCUAGGUGUGGGACUCAUUCCACGAGUUCCGUGCCGCAGCUAACGCAUUAAGCGCCCCGCCUGGGGAGUACGGCCGCANNGGCUNAAACUCAAAGGAANUUGANG